rnacentral:tRNA from 1 species
CGGGGCGUAGCGCAGCCAGGUAGCGCACUUGAAUGGGGUUCAAGUGGCCGGACGUUCAAAUCGUCUCGCCCCGA